rnacentral:lncRNA from 1 species
GACAGGAGGCCUUGUGGGGGGACUAAAACCCUUGCACUACACAAGAGGCACAUCCAAAACUUCCCUGCUUCUUUGCUCCAUACCUUUUGAGAGACUUCCAGAGUAGUUUCUUCUCCGUUCCUCGCCCUACACGGGGCCUACAAGCAGCUGAGCACAAGAACUCUGACCGUGUAUUCACAUAAAUAACUGCGUUUUCUGCGGGGGGCUAACGAGCCCAAAUUGAGGCGUGACCCCUAAAAGCAACAUCCACCAUUCUCGGUAGCAGAGUCACACAAGGGUAAUUGUGAGGUGCUAACGGCUGCCUGCCGAGCAAACUAUCAGGGGAGUGGCUGCUUCCGGCGAAGGUAGCGGGCGCACCUCAGGAGACGUCUGCCUGCAGAAGCACCAGGAGAAGGCCAAGCUCCUCGUUCAAGGGAAAUCUCUCAUGGGAGUUCUGAGGUUAAGAGAUGGCUUGUAGUUGAAAAAGGACCUGGGUCUUCCUGUACAUGUCACGAGAUGUCACAGUUAACAUCAAAGUGAUCUGGAAGAGCUGCCAACCCUGGAGCUUAAGGAAUAAUAGCAAGGGAAAGAGGCGACUGCAUGAAUUAAGACGCAGAGUAAAAGGAAU